rnacentral:rRNA from 1 species
AUUGAACGCUGGCGGAAUGCUUUACACAUGCAAGUCGAACGGCAGCACGGGGGCAACCCUGGUGGCGAGUGGCGAACGGGUGAGUAAUACAUCGGAACGUGCCCAGUCGUGGGGGAUAACGUAGCGAAAGCUACGCUAAUACCGCAUACGAUCUACGGAUGAAAGCGGGGGAUCGCAAGACCUCGCGCGAUUGGAGCGGCCGAUGGCAGAUUAGGUAGUUGGUGAGGUAAAGGCUCACCAAGCCGACGAUCUGUAGCUGGUCUGAGAGAACGACCAGCCACACUGGGACUGAGACACGGCCCAGACUCCUACGGGAGGCAGCAGUGGGGAAUUUUGGACAAUGGGCGCAAGCCUGAUCCAGCCAUUCCGCGUGCAGGAUGAAGGCCCUCGGGUUGUAAACUGCUUUUGUACGGAACGAAACGGCUCUCUCUAAUACAGGGGGCUAAUGACGGUACCGUAAGAAUAAGCACCGGCUAACUACGUGCCAGCAGCCGCCGUAAAAC